ACACUUACUGACAAUAAGACAGGGCUGCUCUAGGGUUUCUAAGUAAUGGAUUAAACACUUAAGAGGGUGGUGUUGUAGUCAAAUAAGCAAGUGAUAUGGUGUAUUUUCAUCAACUGAAAUAUUUAAAGAUAUAUUUACAUUUCUAGCAUUUAGCAGACACCCUUAUCCAGAACAACUUCUAUUUUUAUCUUAUUUUUUAUACAACUAAGCAAUUGAGGCUUAAGGGCCUUGCUCAGGGGCCAGCGGUGGCAGUCUAAGCGUGAGACAGAAAAUCUGAAAAUCAAAGACGAUGAGAUUUUUCCUGAUGGGAACCUCCUAUGGAGUGCUGUUCAGGAGGGAGACUAGAUCUGUGAACCAAACUCGAGAGGGCCAACGAGGAGCAACUAGGAGAAGGUUAGGACUUGCGAGAGCAGGCCACAUCCAUACUAAGGCAUCCAGGCCCAGAGGGGCCGGUUGAGAGAGGCAAAACCACAAUGGACAAUGGUCGACUCCUUGGAGGUCGAACAGAUCUACUUCCGCCCUGCCGAAAAUCUGCCAAACUUGCUCCACCACAUGGUGGUGAAAUGUGUGCGGUGAAAGGACUGGCAUUUCACCUCCUGGUGCCUGUCAAUGACAGUACUCACUGCUUCGCCAAACAAGCCCUGAGGUGAAAUCAGCACAGCCAUUGAACGGCCUAUAGAGCGGGCCGUCUGCUUUGUGGCACGGAGCAUGAGAUCCAUGCCUCGGCAGAGCUCAGCUACUACCUGAAGAUUCAACCCCUUGCCACCAUCAAGCUCUUUCAGCAGGUCAGCAUGGUAGACCUGCAAAACUGCUAUGACACCUGCUUCCAUAUAGGCUUUACCCACAAGGGCUGAAGUAACUCUACAAGGCUUGGAUGGAAGCGCAGUCUUCCUCCAUGCGGGCGAUGUAGGAGAGAGAUCUCUUACACAGGCCUGUGCAAUAAAGGGCUUGUUUUCAGGCUUUCUAUGCCUUAAUAAGCAUAGGUAUAUUGUGUGUGUUCUUCUCUGGCUGGUAAAGCAAGUUUGAAACUAGUUACAAUCCUUCAGUGAUACACUUUUUCAUGUUUUCUAUAAAAUAAAAAUCUACAGCAGCAAGGUACAGUAGGUGCUCUUUCCUCAGUGCUGCUGCAGAGAUGAGAGCAUUUCCUAGCUUCUCUAGAAAUAGUCUCCUUUUGUAGAACUUAUUAUGAUUCCAUAAGGGAUCCACUUCAGUAAAUAGAACAAAAGUGUUGUAGGAUCCAAUGUCCAACAUGUUUAAAAAAAUAAAAUGCUUAUGGCCACCGAUUGGUCCCUCGCUUGCAGCUGUAGGUGCAGUGAAGCUACAAAAAUAAAAGAACAAGAAACCAAUAAGAAUAUUUAUGCAAAUAUUGUCAAAACACAAACUGUAUCUCCUAAAUUCAUCUUGAACAAGCACAUUAAUUCAGUAAAAAUUAACAGGAAUGGGAUGCAUGUAGAGUCAACUAUGUAAUAUCUAAAUUGUCUACACCUCCUUUGCAGCUGUCUUAAUCAGUGUCAAUCACUGGCUUUUUCUUCUGCCCAUCCCUCACUUGUGCCUGGCGUUGCUUUUUACUGAUAAGCGUUAUAUUCCUACCCCGUUUAAGAAUAUAACUCAUAGCUGUCAUAGUUUUUGUAAAUGCUAAGAUGGAGGAGAGGACAGGCUGAUCUUUAAUUUGUCAGCUUGGGUGGCAGCUCUGGUUUUUCCUUCUCAGUCCAACCAAUGCAUUUUUUUUCUUGAGCAGCUCCUGAGAAAGUGAAAAGGAUGUAAAAAUAUUGUCAUGUCAGAGUGACGCCCUGGAGCCUUUCCGUCAUUUUCAGGGUGACCACAUCCCCUGCCUUUCCUAAGUAAAUGUUAGAUCUCCAGGCAUAUGAUACUGUGUCAUUGGCAGUAACUCAGAUUUUUAGUCUAUACCUGUGAGUUUUUUUUUUUACGCAUGUACUGGCGAAAUCAGCACCUUCCUUUAAUGGCAAAAGUCGAUCAUCCACAGUGACCUCUCGCCUGGGGUUGAAUAACAGAGGAAGGCAACCCGUCCACAUCUCCCACAGUGAUCUAAUGGGGUAAAACUUAUCCUAAUGUGACUACUUAGUAAAUAACAUUAAUUUAAUUGGGUACCUGCAGACUUCCUCUGAUUGUUAGCCGUAAUACUGUGUUUCCUGAGCUACACUGUUUAAGUUAAAAUAGUGACUCAGAGUCGGUAAGAUUAACAGGCAAAUGGAUUCAUUAGUGAUCCCCCCCACCCCCACCCCUCAAAUCUGGACCCGUCUGUCCACUUGUGUGUCUAAACGACCUUUGGGUUACCGAGUUACAGCGGAACGGGACUUAGCAACCAGGAACUCCUGCGGCAAACUCUCUCUCUCGUUCCAGCAGUCCAGCUUGAAAGCCUGAACCCCCCACCCCCCCAAACACAAAAACACAUGCACACUAUAUUAUGCUUAUAUCCUCCAUAAAACUUUAAUGUAAAAAACCUGAAAAUAAGCUUUAUUUUUGCACAGGCCUGUGUAAUAAUGUAAUGUCACCACCUUCUGGACAACAGUAAAAAUUAAACUUUGCCUCUUCCCAGCUGAGGGAACCAUUAACUAGCAAGAAUGUGUGUGUGUGUGUGUUUUUUUUCAUGUCAUGCCUGUGCAAUGAAUAAAUGUGGUUAGAAUAGCAGUCAAUGUGGAAAAACAGCCACAAUUGACGUAAGAGGGAGAAAAUAUUUUAAUCUGAUGUUGCACAAAAUCUAACAGUGCAUAAAAGCCAAAGUUGUUAUUAGUGUUUGGCAUAUUCAAAAUAAAAGGUAAAAAAAAAAUCAGUUUGCUAUAUCAGUUUUUUAUAAUAAAAAAGUCCUUUUAUUGUGUAUUUUUAUGCAAAUUAGUGACAUUGGUAAUUUAAAAAAAUCAAAUUGAAAAAAAUAUUGAUCUGAUAUAUUUUUAUACAAAUUUAAUUUUAGUGGACAUUUUUGUACACAAACAACAAGUAAGGGUGUUAAAUUUGUACACAGCGAAUUAAAGACCUGGUGAAAAUUCUGAAAGCAUCUCUCCAAAGUUCAUGUCAGAUAAAAAUCAUUCCAUUUGCUGAAAGAAAGCUAUGGCCAAAGAAAUUGGGAAACUAAGCCUCCUAAUGUACACAAAUGUCACAAAGCAUACUUUCUUUCUGUUGUAAGGUUAAUAUAUGCCUUUUACUGUGUUAGAAUAGUAUGACUCUGUUCUACCAGAGUGAGUGUAUAUUACAUUGCAAUUGUCUAAGAGCUCCAUUGCGGUUGCAUCCUCUAGCAGAGAGGCCAACUUGACUCAACGCUCCCAUUUUAUCUUGUGUUUUAACCAUUUAUUGUUAGAAAUAUUGUAGAAAGUGUGAACUUAAUAUUUCCCAUUAUCACUUAUGUUAUAUAAACAUAAGCUAUAAAGCAAAACUCUGUCAUGAAGAUUUUCCUGUUUCUUAAAAAAUGUACUAUUACAAAAUGCAAAAAACAAAACAAAACUGGAGACUCCUUCUAUAUGUCAAACUAACAUGUCCAUAUG